rnacentral:rRNA from 1 species
UGCGCAGGCGGCUCCUUAAGUCAGAUGUGAAAGCCCCGGGCUUAACCUGGGAACUGCGUUUGAAACUGGGGGGCGUAGAGUGUGGAAGAGGGGGUGGAAUUCCAGGUGUAGCAGUGAAAUGCGUAGAGAUCUGGAGGAACACCGAUGGCGAAGGCAGCCCCCUGGGCUAACACUGACGCUCAUGCACGAAAGCGUGGGAGCAAACA